rnacentral:misc_RNA from 1 species
ACAACAAACUCAGCUAAGGUUUAUUUUUUUUUGUUUACCACCUUUUUACAAACUUAUUUAUUUAUUUAUAGGAUAUCAUAGGGGCAUAUCGAUAGUCCUCAACUGUUAUCUAAACUUAAAUUAAUAGCGGCUUGAAAGUCAUUAUUCCAAGUGCCAUAUACACGGAAAAUACACUACACUUAGAACUCGCUAAUCAUUAGAGUUACAGAUAGCUACAAUAAGGAAUCCUUAGAAGCUUGGUAACACACUUUCUUCAUACACACAAACACGCAACACACACACACACACACACACACACACACACACAUGUUUACAACAAACACAAACAACCCAUGUUUUACGAAUGGUAGCCAUUUUUAGUCAACUCUCCUCUUUCCUCUUUCACAAUAAUCUUUUAUCUUACUAAGUUCAUACCAGUCCGGUUUUCGUCCAAUCCACAGCACCACUACUGCACUUCUCAUAGUCACCGAGGACAUUAGCCACGCUAUGGAUUACAAAUGCUAAUAGGUACUCUUUGAUUUUAGCAACGCGUUUAAUUCAGUGGACUUUGAUGUUCUCCUAACACUCUUCACACCUUAAUACUAUAACAGCCUGUAAUUGAAUGGUUCAGGUAUUAUCUUGUUGGUUGACAGCAAAGAGUCAGCUUUGACAAAAUUUUCUCUGGUUGGGCUGACAUCUCGGCUGGCGUACCCCAAGGGCUAUUCCUUGAGACCCCACGUCGUCCAAGAUCGGUGCAUACGUGUGAAAAAUAAAUUACCUAUCUUGCCCCGAUAUGACACCGAACUCACUACCAUAUUGCAAUUUUGAAGAUCUAUUACUAUAAUAAAAUUGUAACAGGUCAAAUUCUGUACUAGUUUAGUUGGAGGGCUAUAGUAAGAAACAUACACAUAUAUAAGUACCUGGAACCUUGUUGCUAAUGUGAUUAAAAUGUUUAAGUUAGAUGUUACAAAAAUACUGAUUUUAUUGAUAUAUAUUCUAUUAAUUGAUACGUCAUAGAUAUUUUUAUAAGCUUAUAAAGAUAUUAAGAGACCUUUAAAUAAUAAAAAUGUGCUAUUUAUCGAGAAAUAUGGAUUUUAUUUGACGAGUUCUAACUAUGACCAAGGUACAACAUAGGCGGUCCAAGGUACAUCACCACUGUUGUACCUUGGUCCACAUUCCAAACUUUUUUUAGUUUAUGUAAAACCUGUAAAAAUGAUGAUCUAUGCUUUUGUAUAAUUUAUAUUAUGUACCACAUUAGUUCGUCUAACAGCUGAAAAUUGUUUCGUCGCAAUAGCUAUAACCGAUUUUUUUUUAAAAAAUCGUUAACUGAAAAAGUGACCAAGGUUCCCUAUACCAAACUUUAGCAUGAUGAAUGCCGCUGAGUAUAUUAGUGUAAUCAAAUUCAUUAAUAGUUAAGGUAGAGUGGGAGAAAUGCGAGAGAGAGUGUACAUACUGAUUUAUUUAU